rnacentral:rRNA from 1 species
AUUGAACGCUGGCGGCAGGCUUAACACAUGCAAGUCGAACGAGUGGCGGACGGGUGAGUAAUGCUUGGGAAUCUAGCUUAUGGAGGGGGAUAACUACGGGAAACUGUAGCUAAUACCGCGUACCAUAGGAUGAGCCCAAGUGGGAUUAGGUAGUUGGUGAGGUAAAGGCUCACCAGGCCGACGAUCUCUAGCUGGUCUGAGAGGAUGACAAGCCAAACUGGGACUGAGGCACGGCCCAGACGCCUACGGUAGGCAGCAGUGGGGAAUAUUGGGAAAAGGGGGCAACCUGAAGCAACCAUGCCGCGUGAAUGAAGAAGGCCUUCGGGUUGUAAAGUUCUUUCGGUAGCGAGGCGUUAACUACAGAAGAAGCACCGGCUAACUCCGUGCCAGCAGCCGCGGUAAUAC